rnacentral:rRNA from 1 species
GAUGAACGCUAGCUACAGGCUUAACACAUGCAAGUCGAGGGGAAACGGCAUCGAAAGCUUGCUUUUGAUGGGCGUCGACCGGCGCACGGGUGAGUAACGCGUAUCCAACCUGCCCAUCACUUGGGAAUAACCUUGCGAAAGUAAGACUAAUGCCCAAUGACAUCCCACGAAGGCAUCCGAAUGGGAUUAAAGAUUUAUCGGUGAUGGAUGGGGAUGCGUCUGAUUAGCUUGUUGGCGGGGUGACGGCCCACCAAGGCAACGAUCAGUAGGGGUUCUGAGAGGAAGGUCCCCCACAUUGGAACUGAGACACGGUCCAAACUCCUACGGGAGGCAGCAGUGAGGAAUAUUGGUCAAUGGGCGAGAGCCUGAACCAGCCAAGUAGCGUGCAGGAUGACGGCCCUAUGGGUUGUAAACUGCUUUUAUAAGGGAAUAAAGUGGGUCACGUGUGACUUUUUGCAUGUACCUUAUGAAUAAGGACCGGCUAAUUCCUUG